GAGCCUCUGCGGUGUUCGUCACCUAGCUUGCUUUUGGCGAACCGAUAAGAGUACCCGAUGGAGUCCAAAAAGGUUUCUGGUGCAUGUAUGCCCACCCAAGUAGUGGGAUUCGUAAUCUAGAGCUGAGGAUUCCAACGUUAAAAUGCGGGUUCUCAAAAGAGCUGAAACGGCACAGGUGGGGGCAUU
rnacentral:other from 4 species